rnacentral:lncRNA from 1 species
GUUUUGGUAUUUUUAUUAGAGACGAGGUUUCACCAUGUUGGCCAGGCUGGUCGCGAACUCCUGACCUCAAGUGAUCUGCCCGCCUUGGCCUCUUAAAAUUUUUACUUUUUUUUAGUGAUGAGGUCUGCCUCUGUUGCCCAGGCUGGAGUGCAGUGGUGUCAUCAGCUCACUGGAGGCUCAGCCUCCCUGGGCUCAAGUGAUCCUCCCUCCUCAGCCUUCUGAGUAGCUGGGACUAGGGGUGCGCUCCACACACACAGCUAAUUUUGAAAUUUUUUGUAAAGAUGGGAUCUCUCUAGGUUGCCCAGGCUGAUCUCAAACUCCUGGGCUCUAGCGAUCCUCCUGCUUCAGCCUCCCAAAGUGCUAAAAUUACAACUAUGAGCCACCCUGCUCGGUUUUGUUUUUUUACAUUGUUUAGUGGUAGAAAGAAGUCAAAAGAAUACUUUGUGACACGUGAAAAGUACAUGUGAUUCACAUUUCAGUGUGUGUAAAGUUUGAUUGGCACACAGCCACGUUUAUUCAUGACCAUGCCGUCUAUGGCAGCUUUUGUGCACUAGGGCACAGCCAAGCAGGUGCAAUGGGGAUGAUAUGUCCUGCAAAGAUGAAAAUAUUUACUCUCUGGCUCUUUACAGAAAAAGUUUGCCCACCCCUGAGUUAAUGUAUCAUGAGCACUUUGAACAAUGCUGGGCACAAAAUGUGCUUGGGAUUGUUAUUCAAAAUGUGUUUCAGGUCGGGCGUGGUGGUGUUUCAGGCUGGGCGAGGUGGCUCAUGACUGUAAACCCAACACUUUGGGAAGCCAAGAUGAGAGGAUCGUUUGAGCCCUGGAGUUCAAGACCACCUUGGGCCACAGAGCAGAUACCACCUCCACAAAAAAAUUUUAAAAAAUUAGCCAGUUGUGGUGGUGCACUCCUGUGUAGCCCCAGCUGCUCAGGAGGCUGAGGUAGGAGAUCCCUUGAGCCCAGGAGGACAAGGCUGCAGUGAACUAUUAUUGCACCACUGCACUCCAGCCUGGGUGACAGAGCAAGACCCUGUGUCAAAAAAGAAAUGUACAAAGGUUAAAAAAAUAUAUAUGGUUGGCCG